AGAGAGAGACAUGCGCGCAUAUCAAUAAGCGGAGGAAAAGAAACUAACAAGGAUUCCCCUAGUAACGGCGAGUGAAGCGGGAAGAGCUCAAAUUUGAAAUCUUCAAGGUUUUACCUUGACGAAUUGUAGUUUAAAGAAGUGUUUUCGGUUAGAGGAGUAGUAAAAGUUCUUUGGAAUAGGACAUCAUAGAGGGUGAGAAUCCCGUAUUUGACUAUUCUUUCUAGCUUUGUGAUACACUUUCAAAGAGUCGGAUUGUUUGGGAAUGCAGUCCAAAAUGGGUGGUAAAUUUCAUCUAAAGCUAAAUACUGGCGAGAGACCGAUAGCGAACAAGUACCGUGAGGGAAAGAUGAAAAGAACUUUGAAAAGAGAGUUAAACAGUACGUGAAAUUGUCAAAAGGGAAGCGUUUGACACCAGUGUUGUUUUUCCGAAAAUCAAUUAUGAAUGGCUUGAUUUUAAGUUUCAUGACCUUAAAAGCUUGUUGCUUAUUUUUCAUGUCUUUCGUAAUGCACUUUUCGGUUAACAAGUCAACAUCAAUUUCUUUUGUUGUAAAAGGUUAAGAGGAAGGUGGCUUUACUUUCGGGUAAAGUGUUUAUAGCCUUUUAACUCUGCAAUCGGAGAGAUUGAGGUCUGCAGCGUAGAUCCUUCGGGGUUAGAUACAUUUGAGCUAAGUUAUAGCUUUUCAUAGACAACUUGUUGACUAUGUUAAGUCUUGUAAUUUACUCGCAGAUGCUAUUUUACCUACGCUUAGGAUGUUGACAGCAGUAUAGACUG
rnacentral:rRNA from 1 species